rnacentral:tRNA from 1 species
AGCGCGAUAGCUCGGCUGGUGGAGCAUCUGCCCUGCGUGCGGAGGGUCGCCGGUUCGAUUCUGGCUCGCGCUG